CUACAGGCUUAACACAUGCAAGUCGAGGGGCAGCAUGGUCUUAGCUUGCUAAGGCCGAUGGCGACCGGCGCACGGGUGAGUAACACGUAUCCAACCUGCCGUCUACUCUUGGACAGCCUUCUGAAAGGAAGAUUAAUACAAGAUGGCAUCAUGAGUCCGCAUGUUCACAUGAUUAAAGGUAUUCCGGUAGACGAUGGGGAUGCGUUCCAUUAGAUAGUAGGCGGGGUAACGGCCCACCUAGUCUUCGAUGGAUAGGGGUUCUGAGAGGAAGGUCCCCCACAUUGGAACUGAGACACGGUCCAAACUCCUACGGGAGGCAGCAGUGAGGAAUAUUGGUCAAUGGGCGAGAGCCUGAACCAGCCAAGUAGCGUGAAGGAUGACUGCCCUAUGGGUUGUAAACUUCUUUUAUAAAGGAAUAAAGUCGGGUAUGGAUACCCGUUUGCAUGUACUUUAUGAAUAAGGAUCGGCUAACUCCGUGCCAGCAGCCGCGGUAAUACGGAGGAUCCGAGCGUUAUCCGGAUUUAUUGGGUUUAAAGGGAGCGUAGAUGGAUGUUUAAGUCAGUUGUGAAAGUUUGCGGCUCAACCGUAAAAUUGCAGUUGAUACUGGAUAUCUUGAGUGCAGUUGAGGCAGGCGGAAUUCGUGGUGUAGCGGUGAAAUGCUUAGAUAUCACGAAGAACUCCGAUUGCGAAGGCAGCCUGCUAAGCUGCAAC
rnacentral:rRNA from 1 species